CAGCCGCCGCGGGAAUACGGAGGGUGCAAGCGUUAAUCGGAAUUACUGGGCGUAAAGCGCACGCAGGCGGUCUGACAAGUCAGAUGUGAAAUCCCCGGGCUUAACCUGGGAACUGUAUUUGAAACUGUCAGGCUGGAGUCUUGUAGAGGGGGGUAGAAUUCCAGGUGUAGCGGUGAAAUGCGUAGAGAUCUGGAGGAAUACCGGUGGCGAAGGCGGCCCCCUGGACAAAGACUGACGCUCAGGUGCGAAAGCGUGGGGAGCAAACAGGAUUAGAUACCCCAGUAGUCCCUGUCUCUUAUAC
rnacentral:rRNA from 1 species